rnacentral:rRNA from 1 species
UGAGGAAUAUUGGUCAAUGGACGCAAGUCUGAACCAGCCAAGUAGCGUGCAGGAUGACGGCCCUAUGGGUUGUAAACUGCUUUUAUAUGGGGAUAAAGUGGGGAACGUGUUCCCUUUUGCAGGUACCAUAUGAAUAAGGACCGGCUAAUUCCGUGCCAGCAGCCGCGGUAAUACGGAAGGUUCGGGCGUUAUCCGGAUUUAUUGGGUUUAAAGGGAGCGUAGGCCGUUUGGUAGGAGUGUUGUGAAAUGUAGGAGCUCAACUUCUAGAUUGCAGCGCGAACUGUCAGACUUGAGUGCGCACAACGUAGGCGGAAUUCAUGGUGUGGCGGUGAAAUGCUUAGAUAUCAUGAAGAACUCCGAUUGCGAAGGCAGCUGACGGGAGCGCAACUGACGCUGAAGCUCGAAGAUGCGGGUAUCGAACAGG